AUUCGUUAAAUUCAACCAUCAACUCAACCCCAACUUCAACUCCGAAGACAACCCCGUCCGAAAAUAUAGGUGUGCUAUACUCAUCCGAGUUGGAACAACUGCUGUUCAACUCUUUCACAUCUCUUCGAAAGUGUUGAAGCAACUUCACAAUUCAACCAAUCAGGUGGCAGCAACCGAAUGGGGUUAUGGGAUAGCACAAGUCAAAACAAUAUGGCGGCAAAGUUUAUCUGACGAAGCAGGAUAUCUAAUUUGUUAUAUAUUAAUUCUGCAAAGAUGAGUAAAAAUUUUGAGCAAGCUCCCGUUGGGGAAACUUUUAAAUGGAGCAUCGAAAUGGAGAGCACAUUUAUUGAACUCUGGAAGAAAAAAGAGAACAUUUGGAAUGUAACAUCCCGCCACCACCACAGGAAAUAUCAUUUAAGAGCUCAUAAAAAAUUAAUCGAAACUGCUUUUAUAUUUCUUUUGGAAUAAAUUGUUCAUAUUUAUCAA
rnacentral:lncRNA from 1 species